rnacentral:lncRNA from 1 species
UUUAAAAUCAUCAGAUCUCAUGAGAUUUAUUCACUAUCACAAGAACACCAAAGGAAAGACCAACCCCCAUGAUUCAAUCACCUCAAAACAGGUUCCUCCUAUGACACAUGGGAAUGUGGGAGUUACAAUUCAAGAUGAGAUUUGGGUGGGGACACAGCCAAACCAUAUUAUUCUACCUUUGUCCCUUCCUAAAUUUCAUGUCUUCACAUUUCAAAACCAAUCAUGCCUUCCCAAGAAUCCCCCAAAGUCUUAACUCAUUUCAGCAUUAACUCAGAAGUCCACAGUCCAAAGUCUUGUCUGAGACAAAGCAUGUCCCUUCUGUCUAUGAGCCUGUAAAUUCAAAAGCAAGUUAGUUAUUUCCUAGAUAAAAUGAGGGUACAGGUAUUUUGUAAAUAUAGCUAUCACACAUGGACUGGUAUUGUCUGUGGCUUUUCCAGGCAUGCAGUGCAAGCUGUCAGUGGAUCCAUCAUUCUGGCGUCUGAAGAAGAGUGGCUCUCUUCUCACAGCUUCACUAGGUGGUGGUCUCUGUUUGGGGGCUCCCACCCCACAUUUCCCUUCUGUACUGCCCUAGCAGAGGUUCUCCAUGAGGACCCUGCACCUAUAGCAAAUUUCUGCCUGGGUAUCCAGGCCUUUCCAUACAUCUUCUGAAAUCUAGGAGGAGGUUCCCAAACCUCAGUUCUUGACUUCUGUGCACUCGCAGGCUCAACACCACAUGGAAGCUGCCAAGACUCGAGGCUUGCACCCUUUAAAGCCAUGGCCCAAGCCCUGUGUUGGCCCCUUUCAGCCAUGGCUGGAGCGGGUGGGACACAGGGCACCAAGUUCCUAGGCUGCAUACAACAUGGGGACCCUGGGCCCAGCUCACAAAACAAUUUUUUUUUUCCUAGGCCUGCUGUGAAGACCUCUGACAUUUCCUGCAGACACUUUCCUCCUUGUCUUGGUGAUCAGCAUUCAGCUCCACAUUGCUGUGGGAAAGAGGGUUUCUGGGGUGCCAGUUGAGUUGGUCUCCCCUGUGUGAGACACCCAUGGGAAGCCAUGGGCAGCCUCUGAGGAGAAAAGUCUCCUGAUUGCCUUCAUGUCUUUAUGCCCCAAGAGCAUAACCGCUCAGUGGCAUUCCACAGGUU